GUAAUCUGUUACGAAGUGUAGACGGAGACAAGCGUGGCGAGCGGAGGAAUGACGAGAGGAAGAAUCAAGAACGAGAAUCGAGUCGGGCCAGGACAGGUGUGCCACACACAAGUUGGAGGACACAGCGAAAAAGAUAGCAUCCAGAAAGUUCUAGACGAGUAAUUAAACAUUCACGGAUGAAGCAUAAGGAACUUACGAGUAGAAUUAUGCUAGCACUAGCAGUUGUCAAGUGUUUUAUAUUAUGCUUUCAGCUAGAAAAAUGUUUUCUUAGCAUGGUUUAGCUAAAUGCAGGUUUAGCUAUAUUGUGUAUAUACAGUCCCAUCUGAAAGGAAUGGAAUGGCAAGGCCAAUUCUUUUGUUUGUGCUAAACACUGAAGACAUUUGAACUCAGGACUCUGGAAUUGUGAGGCAGUAAUGGAACCCAUACGCCUCUUUCAGAACUACCUAAAAAGAAGCAUGAUGUCACGGUGACAAAUACAACGGGAGAAUAAAGCUUCAUCUGGAAAUGGAGAACAGCCUGAUGAGGAGAAAGUGUGUGUGUGUGUUGUGUGUGCAUCUGGAGUCUGUUUGUCUGUCUGUCUGUCUGUUUCUAUGUCUGUCAGGCUGAAGACCCAAGAAGUGUCAGUGAAGUAUAGCAGGCUAUCAUGAGAUUGAAAAAUCAGAAGUUACAUGUGGCAGUUCAAAAGGCAAAAAUGCAUUUGUAAGAUUAGGAAUAGAAAAACAACUUGUUAGAUUAUUUAAAAAAUACACAGAAAUAGGUCUGGAGAAAAAUGCUUUCAAUCCUGGAAAAAAAUAUAUUGGUAAGUUUUUGGUAUGUACUGGUAUGUAAACAAAAUGUAUUUAUAUUUCUGGACAAAAAGUCUAAUAAAAGAUGGUCAGGUUGUGAUCGGAAUUAAUAUACUGCACACUGC
ensembl:lncRNA